CGUGGGUAACCUGCCCAAGAGAUCGGGGUAACACCUGGAAACAGAUGCUAAUACCGGAUAACAACAGAUGAUGCCUAUCAACUGUUUAAAAGAUGGUUCUGCUAUCACUCUUGGAUGGACCUGCGGUGCAUUAGCUAGUUGGUAGGGUAACGGCCUACCAAGGCGAUGAUGCAUAGCCGAGUUGAGAGACUGAUCGGCCACAUUGGGACUGAGACACGGCCCAAACUCCUACGGGAGGCAGCAGCU
rnacentral:rRNA from 1 species